rnacentral:rRNA from 1 species
GACGAACGCUGGCGGCGUGCCUAACACAUGCAAGUCGAGCGAUGAAACCCUUCGGGGUGGAUUAGCUGCGGACGGGUGAGUAACACGUGGGUAACCUGCCUCAAAGAGGGGGAUAGCAUCCCGAAAGGGAGAUUAAUACCGCAAAACAUUGGUUUUUCGCAUGAAGAACCAUUUAAAGGAGCAAUCCGCUUUGAGAUGGCCCCGCGGCGCAUUAGCUAGUUGGUGAGGUAACGGCUCACCAAGGCGACGAUGCGUAGCCGACCUGAGAGGGUGAUCGGCCACAUUGGAACUGAGACACGGUCCAGACUCCUACGGGAGGCAGCAGUGGGGAAUAUUGCACAAUGGGCGAAAGCCUGAUGCAGCAACGCCGCGUGAGUGAUGAAGGCCUUCGGGUUGUAAAGCUCUGUCUUUGGGGACGAUAAUGACGGUACCCAAGGAGGAAGCCACGGCUAACUACGUGCCAGCCGCCGCCGUAAGAC